AUUGAACGCUGGCGGCAUGCCUUACACAUGCAAGUCGAACGGCAGCACGGGUGCUUGCACCUGGUGGCGAGUGGCGAACGGGUGAGUAAUACAUCGGAACAUGUCCUGUAGUGGGGGAUAGCCCGGCGAAAGCCGGAUUAAUACCGCAUACGAUCUACGGAUGAAAGCGGGGGACCUUCGGGCCUCGCGCUAUAGGGUUGGCCGAUGGCUGAUUAGCUAGUUGGUGGGGUAAAGGCCUACCAAGGGGACGAUCAGUAGCUGGUCUGAGAGGACGACCAGGCACACUGGGAAUGCGACACGGCCCAGACUCCUACGGUAGGCAGCAGUGGGGAAGUUUGGACAAUGGGCGAAAGCCUGAUCAAGCAAUGCUGCGUGGGUGAAGAAGGCCUUCGGGUUGUAAAGCACUUUUGUCCGGAAAGAAAUCCUUGGCUCUAAUACAGUCGGGGGAUGACGGUACCGGAAGAAUAAGCACCGGCUAACUACGUGCCAGCCGCCGCCGUAA
rnacentral:rRNA from 1 species